rnacentral:tRNA from 1 species
GAAAUAAGUUGAAACAAAUAAUAGCUGCUAACUAAUUAUUUAUGCGGUUUAAAUCCGUUAAUAUUUCU